rnacentral:lncRNA from 1 species
AUCAGCUUGCCGUCCUCCAGGCCCACCAGCACAUGGCUGCGUUCCUUGGAAGAGGGGAGUCGAAAAACAUCAGACCCCAGGGCACCGUUUCCGGGAGCAGGCAGGGAGGCGUCCAAGGCCACAUCCCCUCCGUCCUCACCUCCCGAAGACCUGAGAGACUCUGUGGUGCAGUAGUAGAAGACAUUGAGGGCCUCCUCCGCCGCUGGCCCCCGCUGCUUGUAGCCGAAGAUGAGGUCGAUCCACUCGUGCAGGAAGUCCGGGAAGUAGAAGAACUCGGGGAUGAGUUCCUUCACGUCGGCCGGGCUCUCCAGGCGCGCCUGCCAGGCUGCGGCCACCGAGUGGAACUGCCGAUCGGAGCAGUCAAAGCUGGUGGAGGGUGGGCCACAGGCC